rnacentral:rRNA from 1 species
UUAAAUUGAAGAGUUUGAUCAUGGCUCAGAUUGAACGCUGGCGGCAGGCCUAACACAUGCAAGUCGAACGGUAACAGGAAGAAGCUUGCUUCUUUGCUGACGAGUGGCGGACGGGUGAGUAAUGUCUGGGAAACUGCCUGAUGGAGGGGGAUAACUACUGGAAACGGUAGCUAAUACCGCAUAACGUCGCAAGACCAAAGAGGGGGACCUUCGGGCCUCUUGCCAUCGGAUGUGCCCAGAUGGGAUUAGCUAGUAGGUGG